rnacentral:misc_RNA from 1 species
GAUGAAGAACGUAGCGAAAUGCGAUAAGUAGUGUGAAUUGCAGAAUUCAGUGAAUCAUCGAAUCUUUGAACGCCCAUUGCGGCCCUUGGUAUCCCGAGGGGCAUGCCUGUUCGAGCGUCAUUUCACCACUCAAGCCUGGCUUGGUGUUGGGCGACGUCCCCUUUGGGGACGCGCCUCGAAACGCUCGGCGGCGUGGCACCGGCUUUAAGCGUAGCAGAAUCUUUCGCUUUGGAAGUCGGGGCCCCGUCUGCCGGAAGACCUACUCGCAAGGUUGACCUCGGAUCAGGCAGGGAUACCCGCUGAACUUAAGCAUAUCAAUAAGCGGAGGA